CGGACGGGUGAGUAACGCGUGGGUAACCUGUCUUGUACAGGGGGAUAACAGUUGGAAACGGCUGCUAAUACCGCAUAAGCGCACGGCAUCGCAUGAUGCAGUGUGAAAAACUCCGGUGGUAUAAGAUGGACCCGCGUUGGAUUAGCUAGUUGGUGAGGUAACGGCCCACCAAGGCGACGAUCCAUAGCCGACCUGAGAGGGUGACCGGCCACAUUGGGACUGAGACACGGCCCAA
rnacentral:rRNA from 1 species